rnacentral:tRNA from 2 species
GGAGGGAUGGCCGAGCGGACGAAGGCGCCGGUCUUGAAAACCGGUGGGCCCGGUGACGGGUCUCGUGGGUUCGAAUCCCACUCCCUCCG